rnacentral:rRNA from 1 species
CCUACGGGAGGCUGCAGUGGGGAAUAUUGGACAAUGGGGGCAACCCUGAUCCAGCCAUGCCGCGUGUGUGAAGAAGGCCCUCGGGUUGUAAAGCACUUUCAGUGAGGAAGAACGCCUGGUGGUUAAUACCCAUCAGGAAAGACAUCACUCACAGAAGAAGCACCGGCUAACUCCGUGCCAGCAGCCGCGGUAAUACGGAGGGUGCGAGCGUUAAUCGGAAUUACUGGGCGUAAAGCGCGCGUAGGUGGCUUGAUAAGCCGGUUGUGAAAGCCCCGGGCUCAACCCGGGAACGGCAUCCGGAACUGUCAAGCUAGAGUGCAGGAGAGGAAGGUAGAAUUCCCGGUGUAGCGGUGAAAUGCGUAGAGAUCGGGAGGAAUACCAGUGGCGAAGGCGGCCUUCUGGACUGACACUGACACUGAGGUGCGAAAGCGUGGGUAGCAAACAGGAUUAGAUACCCCGGUAGUC